UACGGAGGGGGCGAGCGUUGUUCGGAGUGACUGGGCGUAAAGAGCACGUAGGCGGUGUUGUAAGUCAUUAGUCAAAGACUAGAGCUCAACUUUAGUAAGGCUAGUGAUACUAUAAUACUAGAGUAUCAGAGAGGAUUGCAGAAUUCCUGGUGUAGCGGUGAAAUGCUUAGAGAUCAUACAGAACACCGAUUGCGAAGGCAGCUUACCAAACUAUAUCUGACGUUGAGGCACGAAAGCGUGGGUAGCAAACAGG
rnacentral:rRNA from 1 species